rnacentral:tRNA from 1 species
AAGGGAGACCUAAUUCAGGUAGGAGACGAAAAAAAAGUAGUCCCAACCAAGAAUCAAUCCCAAAAGGUCGGAGCGAGGCGGAAUUGGCUUUCAAACUAGGUUCUGGGUUCACACAAGACCUGAAUCAGGAACAAGGGCUAUUAGCUCAGGUGGUUAGAGCGCACCCCUGAUAAGGGUGAGGUCCCUGGUUCGAGUCCAGGAUGGCCCACCCGCACAGGUGGCAAAAACAAGAGAAGCGAGGAAUCAGCACCUUAUCUUAUCUAUAUAUAUAUAGGAGAGAAUGCUGGCUCUGAGUAAAGAGUCCAGAGGAACCUUGAAAACUGCAUAGAGCUAGGUGAAAAAGCCAAAAAAGAAGACCGCAA